UUGGGAGACAAAGUUUACAUGCUAAAGAUUCUCCAUUUUCCGUGUCUACAACGCUCCGAUAUAAAUUGUAACGCUUAAAUCAUCUUGAGUAAUUCUUUUUGUUUCUUAAGAUAAAUACUUUCGUGUACAUUA
ensembl:snoRNA snoRNA:Psi18S-640a snoRNA:Psi18S-640a